rnacentral:tRNA from 1 species
GCUCAGUUGGUAGAGUGUCUGACUCUUGAUUUAGGCUCAGGUCAUUGUCCCAGGAUCGUGGGUUCUAACCCCACAUUGGGCU